GAUGAACGCUGGCGGCGUGCCUAAUACAUGCAAGUCGAGCGAACAGACGAGGAGCUUGCUCCUCUGACGUUAGCGGCGGACGGGUGAGUAACACGUGGAUAACCUACCUAUAAGACUGGGAUAACUUUGGGAAACCGGAGCUCAUACCGGAUAAUAUAUUGAACCGCAUGGUUCAAUAGUGAAAGACGGUUUUGCUGUCACUUAUAGAUGGAUCCGCGCCGCAUUAGCUAGUUGGUAAGGUAACGGCUUACCAAGGCGACGAUGCGUAGCCGACCUGAGAGGGUGAUCGGCCACACUGGAACUGAGACACGGUCCAGACUCCUACGGGAGGCAGCAGUAGGGAAUCUUCCGCAAUGGGCGAAAGCCUGACGGAGCAACGCCGCGUGAGUGAUGAAGGUCUUCGGAUCGUAAAACUCUGUUAUUAGGGAAGAACAAAUGUGUAAGUAACUAUGCACGUCUUGACGGUACCUAAUCAGAAAGCCACGGCUAACUACGUG
rnacentral:rRNA from 1 species